rnacentral:rRNA from 1 species
AGCAGCCGCGGUAAUUCCAGCUCCAAUAGCGUAUAUUAAAGUUGUUGCAGUUAAAAAGCUCGUAGUUGAAUUUCGAGACCGGCUUACUGGUCGUGCUUUUGUGCGUACUGGUAUAAUCGGUUUCUCCUUUCUGACGAACUUUAAUGCCAUUAAUUUGGUGUUUUAGGGAAUCAGGACUGUUACUUUGAAAAAUUAGAGUGUUUAAAGCAGGCUCACGCUUGAAUACAUUAGCAUGGAAUAACGGAAUAGGACGUUUGAUUCUAUUUUGUUGGUUUCUAGGAUCGACGUAAUGAUUAAUAGGGAUAGUUGGGGGCAUUAGUAUUCAAUUGUCAGAGGUGAAAUUCUUGGAUUUAUUGAAGACUAACUACUGCGAAAGCAUUUGCCAAGGAUGUUUUCAUUAAUCAAGAACGAAAGUUAGGGGAUCGAAGACGAUCAGAUACCGUCGUAGUC